GAUUAACAAUAAAUUUAAGAUGUUUACAUUUGAACUUUUAUGAAAUAUGAAUGGUUCUCUUGGGUUGUGCUUACAAUCUCGUUGUCAUUAAUUUUUGUUAAUAGGCUAAAUGUUUAUGCCAUUAUCUUUCCUAUUUGGAUUGUUUUUUCUAUUGUAUAUUUCUCCUAGGAGUAGUUUUGCAUUGUCAUCUGGAAAAGUGUGUUUAUUUCAUCUGGGUGCAUGCUUUUAUUUUCUGUACCAUAGGCUUCAACGACAAUGAUUGUGUUUGUGGAGAAA
rnacentral:misc_RNA from 1 species